GUUAAAAGGCUCGUAGUUGGAUCUCGGCGGGCAGGGGGUGGUUCGCUCUUCAGCGCUACUGCCCCGCUUUGCCCGUGUGAUUGGCGGAGGUUUCGGGGUGCUCUUCGUUGAGUGACUCGGAGCGCCGUCAGGUUUACUUUGAAAAAAUUAGAGUGCUCAAAGCAGGCUUUUCACGCUUGAAUAUUCGUGCAUGGAAUAAUGGAAUAGGAACUCGUUUCUAUUUUGUUGGUUUUCGGAAAUCGAGUUAAUGAUUAACAGGGACAAUUGGGGGCAUUAGUAUUCAGACGACAGAGGUGAAAUUCAUGGACCGUCUGAAGACUGACUACUGCGAAAGCAUUUGCCAAGAGUGUUUUCAUUAAUCAAGAACGAAAGUUAGAGGUUCGAAGGCGAUCAGAUACCGCCCUAGUUCUAACCAUAAACGAUGCCAGCUAGCGAUCUGCCGAGUUUUUUUUGUAGGCUCCGCAGGAAGCUUUCGGGAAACCAAAGCUUUUGGGUUCCGGGGGAAGUAUGGUUGCAAAGCUGAAACUUAAAGGAAUUGACGGAAGGGCACCACCAGGAGUGGAGCCUGCGGCUUAAUUUGACUCAACACGGGAAAUCUCACCAGGCCCGGACACUGGAAGGAUUGACAGAUUGAGAGCUCUUUCUCGAU
rnacentral:rRNA from 1 species